rnacentral:tRNA from 1 species
CAAAGAAUAGUUUAAUUUAGAAUCCUAGCUUUGGGAGAGUGAGAAUCUCUUUUCUUUGA